rnacentral:rRNA from 1 species
UACGAAGGGGCGAGCGUUGUUCGGAAUUACUGGGCGUAAAGGGCGCGUAGGCGGCCCCUCUUAGUCGCGUGUGAAAGCCCCGGGCUCAACCUGGGAACGGCGCGCGAAACGGGAGGGCUGGAGUUCGGGAGAGGAGAGUGGAAUUCCCAGUGUAGAGGUGAAAUUCGUAGAUAUUGGGAAGAACACCGGUGGCGAAGGUGGCUCUCUGGACCGAGACUGACGCUGAGGGCGGCGAAAAGCGUUGGGGGAGCAAAACAGGG